CAAGGAUUUUCACAUCUCUUCAGACACGGGGCGACUCUUUGUGUUUCUAUCAAAAAGUUGGUCUUUUCCUACCUGUACAUCUCCCCAUCAUUUAUGAUUUCUAAUCGUAACCCCUACGAAAAUCCUCCUUAUCUUAAUUAGAGGAACCUUCCAUCUCAAACCAGCGUUUGCAACUCAACUUUCGACAUGGUCGCACAACUCAGUUUAUAGUUGGUCGCCUCAUCCGCUUAUGGGAUUCCCGCAAUUCAUGGGAAUGACACUUAUCUUCCUUGAUAGAAAGGACUGAAUUGUCACCUCAUCUGUUUCCUUAAAAAGAGAUAAGAUGGAAAGCGAAGAGAUGGAUUCUAUAUUCCGUGGGAACAUAAUGAACAAAAAAGAGAUGGAGGUGGUGAUGAACAAAGCCAAAAGAGAUCGUCUCCGAGUAACCAGUCGUUGUCUUCAGCAAAACUUACUCUGGUUAUUGUCAGAGGGUGAAACAGCUGUUGACAUAGCUAGGAGCUAGCUUUAAAGUGCUUGAGCUCGAUGAGAUGACUUAUCUGAGUGAACAGGGCAGAGCACUGUUCCAAACGUGUUCAUCAAAGGAAAACAUAUUGUUUUGGAUGUGAUAGAGUGAUGGAGAGUACAAGGAAAGCUAGCAUAUAUUGUAUGUUAUACGUGACAAGAACUAGCAGCAUGAAAUAGCUAAUUUAUUAAUCUAUAAAGACCCAUGAAGCUGAUUUCCUCUGUAUUGCUCGGAUUGUUGGGGUCCUCCAACAAAAUGGCUGGUCUUUUGUCUCAUGCACCGGAUGCAACAGGAAGUUGGAGUAAUCUGGAACCCUCCCUCCGAUGCAACAAAUGUGUUACUCCCCACAUCACCGGUGUUAUCAGGUGUACGUUGUUUAUCGUCUACCAUUUAUAAACACAAACCUUCAUUUUAGUAAUCAAUAACCCUUGGAUUCCUAUAUUUUAAGGUUUUGUGUUGAGCUUGCUGUGGAUGAUGGGAAAGAUAGUGAUACGUUUGUAAUAUUUGAUAAGGAGAUGACAAGGCUCACCAAGCAAGAAGUUGUUGUUCUUGCGUUUGAGGAGAUACCAACCGGUGGAGAGGAGGAGCUUCCAAGCUGUCUUGUAGAGCUUUCCUGGGAAGGAGUUCGUGUUUCAAAUCCGUGUGACACCUUACAGUUUCACACAUAAUCAACGUACCUUCACUGUAUCAACUAUCAACGAAGAGGGCCAUCAACAAUCUGCUACCACUCAGUGAAGAGGAAGGUGGAAUAACGACAACAUCUUCCAACGAGACGGUUGUUGCGGCGAAGCUAGGAAUGGGUGGUGAGACAGCAAAUCCACCGGGAAAUAAAAAUGUUGUUAACACACACAAGCACCACCGUGAGUGAUAAGAUACUAUUAAUUCCAGCAGCCCGUCAACCCCACUUUCAUUAUGUGGGUUUUUUAAAUAACUAUCCUUUGUAUUGCUCAUUUGAAACUUUGUUGUUUUUUUUUCCAAUUAUUUCCUGCAACUAUCUCUCAUUGGGGAAAUAGUUAUUUUGUUCUCUAAUUACUAAUGAAAGUGUAAUGACCCUAAACCUUGCCCAUGGGUCAGGUUGUUUGAGAUUUCGCCAAGCUUGUCACCACCGUUCGCCACAGCUGAGAAUCGCCGGAAACCGCCGCCUCUUAAGCUUUGUUUUCGUCGAUUCCGUAAAUCGGCCAUAACUUCUUAACCGUUGCGAAUCUCGUGCAUCCAAGCCCAUCAUCGUGUUCCUCUCGUCGAGACGAAGCCGUAGACACCAACCACGCCUCAAACGGAGCCCGGACGAAGCCGCACGCGCCUCCCGAAGAUUCGCCUCGGCGUGCGCGUGAAACACACGCGCCACCGCCGUCCGCCGGAGCCACCGCGAGUUCCGGCCACGCUCCGCCGUCUCCGACCAACGUUCGCCGGAGCCGCCGUGACCGACCACCGUCCGUUCGCCGCCGGGAAGCUGCCGCCGCGUCGCCGCCUCGCCGCCGUUGACUUUCCGAUUUGGAGUCCAUUUGAGCAGCUGGAGUUCAUAGAUACCACCUCUUAUUGUUGCUAAGGUGAGACAAACAAGUAUGUGAUAUUUGGACGGACUUGGUGCUAUUGGACUUGUCUUUCGGAUUUUAUUUGGGCAUGGGUGAGAGUUGUCGGGUUUAUGGGCUUUUAUAUUACGGGAUAUUGUUGGUGGCCCGUCGUCCUUAGUGUCAGGGAGACGGGUAUCACAUUGUUGUAUGAUGACGCGUCGGGGGUGACACGCUGUCCUCCAUAUAGGAGGUGACGGGUGUCACAGAAAGGUUGACGGGAUUUUCAUUAUUCAUUAAACCAUGUUCACAAAGAAACACUUGAUGCCUUAA